AACUCGUGUCCGUGCGGCCGUUGCUGGCGUCGGCCCCGUCCUCGUCCUGCGCUCUCACUGCUGCUCUCGUGGGAGACAGGGAAACACAGACACCACAGGAAACCAGAUCUAUGAAUGCUGUCUGCAAAUUGAAGAAGGAUUGUUUCAUCAAUUUGUGUUUUAACUUCAUCUCCUGAAUCUGGCGGUUUGCAAUAAGGCUGACUCACUGAUCAUGCUUUUUUUCACAACAAAAAAUUCACAGCACUGACCAAGAAGCCUGAGAUCCCUCAGCAGCUCCAGAUAAAACAGUGUCAAUGUCUUUGUGGACUCCUUUCCUUCCUCAGCACCUCUGAUUUGUACUAGUGAUGCUCAUUGCCUGAUACCAAACCUACUAUUUAACAUGGAAUAUCUUGGAGCAGAAACAGUGUUUCCCACCAUAUUUUGUAAAAAACAGGGAUCCCACUGCCACACAUAACAACUAAAGGAAGUGCUGCCUACAAUGGUGUUUGGUUUGAGAGCAGUUUUACAUAAAUAAGCGGAAUUAGGAGUAGUUCAAACAUGACUAUACAGCAACAAACUUGGUAACUUGGCAGCUGGCUGGUGGGUGGGUCAAUUACCCUCCCCCAGCCUUUGCAAUGCUUUAGAUUUAAAAUUAAUUCCCUUUUGCUGAAGGACAAAAGAACUCAUUAGACAAUGACUUGAUGAGGGCCUUUUCAGCUUGAAUGAUUUUUCCAACAGCAAAGGGAGAAUGGUAUAAUGACUUCUAGUACAGAUGUUACACAAAUGACUUCAAAAUUUUUGUAAACUUAAAGGGAAAAUCAAGUAAACAGAAAAUUUAGGUAAGCUAUGGGAUGCAGUAUUUUGUGUGUCUGUGGAGUUAUCUUUAGAUGGAGAGGACAUUCAGAGAGAACACUAGACUACUUUAUAUUAUGACAUUGGUAACUAUGAGAGAAACUGCCUAUUUUACUGACUUGGACUUAGUUAAGACUUUCCCUGGUUGGCAUAUUUGUUAAAACAACUUAAAGAGAAUAAGUGAAUGAGACAAAGCAGUGGAAAAGGAAUAAGAACAUGGAUGCUCUUUCUGACCUUGAAACUCUGAUGUUUUGUUCAUGCUGACAGGGGAUUUAGCUCUUGGACUUAUCUAAAAGAAAGAGGACAAAAAUCAGCACAAAUGCAGAAUACUUGCCACACACCGUAAACCAGAUAUUUUCACCCUUUUUUUUUUUUCUCCGCUGUUAUGCUGCAAUAUAUUUGCCCUCCUUUAAACAACAGGACCCCAAAUUCAGGAGAUAUUUAGCUAUUUAAAUGCCAUGGCAGCCAUCGAGGGUUGGCUACUUGACUGCUUUGGAAAGUCUGGCCCAAAUGCCUUGCAGUUUCCAGAUUCUGCCGAGGGAACAAAGAGACAAAAGGUGAACUGGGUGCCUUGGGACUGGUUUCAGGCAGCUAUUAAUACAAUGGGCAUCAUUUUGGAGGGCGCAGUGUGAAAAAUGCAGCUCUGUUGCCAUAAGUAAUAAUGACAGUCAGAGCUCAGAAAGGUUAUGAAGGGCAGGAACAAUUCAAACGCAGAUAAAAGGAAAGGGAACCUCAAACCCCCGAAUGUUAGAUUUUAUAUUUUUUACAAUUCAUGAAUGUAGCAUUAGGUAAUAGCUGUGUGAAUGCAGCUAGUCAGGGAAAUCAUGAACCUAACCCAUGCUGCCCCUUCUUCUUAGGGGAGAGGAAAUUGCCAUAAUUUAAUUCUAAAUUAGACAGUUAAUUUUGCUCUAGAUUGUGUCCAUUUCUUUCUAUUUUUCCUUCCAGCUGAUGUGAGCUUUUUCACCAAUGCUUCUUUUUUCUCCUUCAGUGUGUGUUGGACCUUGGGCAUUAUGUAAUUUUUUUCCCCACUAAUGUUAAGGAGGCAAAGAAUCAAUUUAUUGACAAUGCUCCAAGAACGUGAAUGAACAGCAGAAGCAAGAUGAAAACACAAAAUGGGCAGAAGGGACAGAAAAUGGCCUAUGAAGCCUGAUUAUAUCUGCUCCUCAAGAUGCAAAUCACCACAGGGCAAAAACCGACAGCUCACUAUCAGACACAAAACAAUUCUUAUCUUUACACCACAGCCCUUUCAGAGGCACGACCACAACAUGUGUUAUGUCUGUUAGUUCUAUCAGUAUCAACAUAUCAUUCCAGCCUCACAUUCAGACACACCUGGAUUCCCUUCAGAUUCAGUCUUCUCUUGAGACGAGCUUGAUCAGGCAAGAAGAAUUUGUUGUCUUCUGGAGAGUCUUCAGAAGUGGAGGAGUCAUCGGCUUCCUGACCGUUGGCCUUUGGGCUGGAAUUCCCGAAGGUCUGGGAGAUAAUGCCCUACCUGGUCGAGGAAGUUGUUGUCCUUGGAGAGCCGCCGGAGUUUGCACUCCAGGUUGACAAUACACGCUUCCUUCCGAACCACCUCGAUCCGGAGCUCGUCAUUCCUCUCCUCCAGCUCUCGGAUCUGCUUCCUGUACUUAUCCUUCUCAAUCAGACAGUGUGAGUACUGCGUCUGAGCCUCGUCGCGCGAGCGGAACGCCUGCGGUGGGGAGGAGAAACCUCUUCGGCACCUGGGCACCAGACACUUCUCCUGCUGGGUUUGUUUGUGAGGUGUUUGGAACAGGGACUUCAGAACUGGCACCCAGUCACCAAUUAACACAGCAGUAAGGAGCUGGAUGUGCCACAGCAGAACCAUUAAAAAUUAUGAUGAUGAGGGUGGUUCAUUUACAGCUCCCUCUUGGCUGGUGGGAAAAUGCUCCAGAGUGCAAAUGGGGUGACUUAACACUGACAUAAAGCCUUGCAGUGGCUGUUGUUAAGACCUUGGUCCUGCCUGCCAGAUGCUACACAGUGGAAACAACCCAAUAUUAUCCUAUGCUUAAUUACUGUAAUGCAAAUUCCAACAAGUAAUUCUUUUAACUGCUUAUUUUAUAACGGUAUUUCGGGCCCAAUUACCCACAAUUCCCCAAAGUGACACAGAAGAGAUGGAGGCUUUUGCUACUGCUUUCCCCCACUUUAACUGUUAGAUACCUGGUCUCGCUCCUUUUCCACCUCUUCCAGCUGUAUCAUCACAGUGUUCAUACGGUGCUUGUACAUCUCACAGUCUUUUCCUAGUGUUGAGCACUUCAACUCCAAAUCCUCUUUCUCCUCAAGAUACUGGAAAUGACACACUGUUAACCAGCACUGCUCUCAGAGGCCUUUUGGGCACCACCCCGAGACAUUCCAUCUCUCUCCCCCUUCUGCUUCUCACCUUGUCUCUCAAGUCCUCCACGUGACGAAUCUCCUCCUGGAGAUUAAAGAUCUUGUUGACCAACUCGUGACGAUCUUCCAGUGCCUCCUUACGGUCGUGUUCCAGAAUAUCCAGAAUGGCUUUGUCUGAAUCCGGCAAACUCCGCUUGUCAGCCUGAGGAAAGACAUUGUCAUGAGCCAGGCCAGGGAAACAGAAGAUACCAUUGCAAGGAGAGAAGUAACAGAGACAGUAACAAGCAAGAGGAAUAGAAAAUGAACAAGGUAUUGCAGUGGGAAAGCAGGAGAAGAGAUAGACAUCUGUUCAUAUUUUAAAACAGUGUCAGAAAAGAUAAAUAAAGGCUGUCUUGCUGUCAGAA